rnacentral:tRNA from 1 species
UACAAUUAGAUGUAUAAUGCAUAAAGAAUUUUGAAUUCUUUUGAUUUGGUUUAAUUCCAAAAAUUGUAU